ACUGUGUGCUAGGCACUGAGUUAGAGUUGAAGACCCUCAAGAAUUCCACUGACAACUGAAUCAUCAAAGGGAACCGAGCCCUGCCCAAGGACAUACAGUUGUUUUCCUCUUCCUUGUCCUUUGGAGAAGCACAGCUGAAGCUUCCUGCCCACACCCCAGCCCCUCCUCCUUGAGCAUGAAUGUGCAGACCACCCACCGCCCCAUGCUUGUAUCUACAACAGCUAUGAGGAAGAACAUACAGAUUAAUCACCCUGCUGCGGGAUGCCAGCUACCCAGUGGCUCUGGCAGCCCCAGUCAAUGGAUCCUGCAGUGUAGCCUUCAUCAGUAGAGCUGCCACUGCCAGCACCCAAAAGGUAGCACUAAUAUGCAUGUGUGACCUGAAAAUUACAAUGUAAAUGGUGGGGCAACACAUGUAUAGGAAGGUAAAUUUUAAUUAAAAGUCUGUUCUCCAACUCAGCCUGCCUUUAAAGAUACAGAAAUGC
rnacentral:lncRNA from 10 species